GUGCUCAUCUUGGCAGCACGUACACUGAAAUUGGAAUGAUACAGAGAAGGUUGGCAUGGUCCCUGUGCAAGGAUGACACACAAAUUUGUGAAGUGUUCCAUGUUUUU
ensembl:snRNA U6 U6 spliceosomal RNA